rnacentral:rRNA from 1 species
GCAGUGGGGAAUAUUGCACAAUGGGCGCAAGCCUGAUGCAGCGACGCCGCGUGAGGGAUGGAGGCCUUCGGGUUGUAAACCUCUUUUAUCGGGGAGCAAGCGAGAGUGAGUUUACCCGUUGAAUAAGCACCGGCUAACUACGUGCCAGCAGCCGCGGUAAUACGUAGGGUGCAAGCGUUAUCCGGAAUUAUUGGGCGUAAAGGGCUCGUAGGCGGUUCGUCGCGUCCGGUGUGAAAGUCCAUCGCUUAACGGUGGAUCCGCGCCGGGUACGGGCGGGCUUGAGUGCGGUAGGGGAGACUGGAAUUCCCGGUGUAACGGUGGAAUGUGUAGAUAUCGGGAAGAACACCAAUGGCGAAGGCAGGUCUCUGGGCCGUUACUGACGCUGAGGAGCGAAAGCGUGGGGAGCGAACAGGAUUAGAUACCCUGGUAGUCCACGCCGUAAACGGUGGAUGCUGGAUGUGGGGCCCGUUCCACGGGUUCCGUGUCGGAGCUAACGCGUUAAGCAUCCCGCCUGGGGAGUACGGCCGCAAGGCUAAAACUCAAAGAAAUUGACGGGGGCCCGCACAAGCGGCGGAGCAUGCGGAUUAAUUCGAUGCAACGCGAAGAACCUUACCUGGGCUUGACAUGUUCCCGACGGUCGUAGAGAUACGGCUUCCCUUCGGGGCGGGUUCACAGGUGGUGCAUGGUCGUCGUCAGCUCGUGUCGUGAGAUGUUGGGUUAAGUCCCGCAACGAGCGCAACCCUCGCCCCGUGUUGCCAGCGGAUUAUGCCGGGAACUCACGGGGGACCGCCGGGGUUAACUCGGAGGAAGGUGGGGAUGACGUCAGAUCAUCAUGCCCCUUACGUCCAGGGCUUCACGCAUGCUACAAUGGCCGGUACAACGGGAUGCGACGCGGCGACGCGGAGCGGAUCCCUGAAAACCGGUCUCAGUUCGGAUCGCAGUCUGCAACUCGACUGCGUGAAGCUGGAA